GUAGGUGGCAAGCGUUGUCCGGAAUUAUUGGGCGUAAAGCGCGCGCAGGCGGUCCUUUAAGUCUGAUGUGAAAGCCCACGGCUCAACCGUGGAGGGUCAUUGGAUACUGGAGGACUUGAGUACAGAAGAGGAAAGCGGAAUUCCACGUGUAGCGGUGAAAUGCGUAGAGAUGUGGAGGAACACCAGUGGCGAAGGCGGCUUUCUGGUCUGUAACCGACGCUGAGGCGCGAAAGCGUGGGGAGCAAACAGGGAUUAGAUACCCUGGUAGUCCACGCCGUAAACGAUGAGUGCUAAGUGUUAGGGGGUUUCCGCCCCCUUAGUGCUGCAGCUAACGCAUUAAGCACUCCGCCUGGGGAUACGGCCGCAAGGCUG
rnacentral:rRNA from 1 species